CGGUNCAAGUUCUUUGGAACAGGACGUCACAGAGGGUGAGAAUCCCGUACGUGGUCGCUAGCCCUCACCGUGUAAAGCCCCUUCGACGAGUCGAGUUGUUUGGGAAUGCAGCUCUAAAUGGGAGGUAAAUUUCUUCUAAAGCUAAAUACUGGCCAGAGACCGAUAGCGCACAAGUAGAGUGAUCGAAAGAUGAAAAGCACUUUGNAAAGAGAGUCAAAUAGCACGUGAAAUUGUUGAAAGGGAAGCGCUUNNNGNCAGACUUGCCUGUAGUUGCUUAUCCGGACUUUUGUCCNNNGCACUCUUCUGCGG
rnacentral:rRNA from 1 species